AUUGAACGCUGGCGGCAGGCCUAACACAUGCAAGUCGAACGAGUGGCGGACGGGUGAGUGAUGUCUGUGAAACUGCCUGGUGGAGGGGGAUCACUACUGGAAACUGUAGCUAAUACCGCAUACCAUCGGAUUUGCCCAGAUGGGAUUAGCUAGUAGGUGGGGUAAAGGCUCACCUAGGCGACGGUCCCUAGCUGGUCUGAGAGGAUGACCAGCCACACUGAAACUGAGACACGGUCCAGACUCCUACGUGAGGCAGCAGUGGGGAAGAGUGCACAAUGGGCGCAAGCCUGAUGCAGCCAUGCCGCGUGUAGGAAGAAGGCCUUCGGGUUGUAAAGUACUUUCAGCGGGGAGGCGGUACCCGCAGAAGAAGCACCGGCUAACUCCGUGCCAGCAGCCGCGGUAAUAC
rnacentral:rRNA from 1 species